UACGAAGGGGGCUAGCGUUGUUCGGAAUUACUGGGCGUAAAGGGCGCGUAGGCGGUGCCUCAAGUCAGGCGUGAAAGCCCCGGGCUCAACCCGGGAACUGCGUCCGAUACUGGGAGGCUUGAAUCCGGGAGAGGGAUGUGGAAUUCCAGGUGUAGCGGUGAAAUGCGUAGAUAUCUGGAGGAACACCGGUGGCGAAGGCGGCAUCCUGGACCGGUAUUGACGCUGAGGCGCGAAAGCCAGGGGAGCAAACGGG
rnacentral:rRNA from 1 species